GGGGUUGUGGCUUAGUGGUACAGCACUUGCCUCACAUGCAUGGGACACUGGGUUGGAUUCCUCAGCACCA
rnacentral:tRNA from 1 species